rnacentral:rRNA from 1 species
AGUGAACGCUGGCGGUAGGCCUAACACAUGCAAGUCGAACGGCAGCACAGGAGAGCUUGCUCUCUGGGUGGCGAGUGGCGGACGGGUGAGGAAUACAUCGGAAUCUGCCCAGUCGUGGGGGAUAACGUAGGGAAACUUACGCUAAUACCGCAUACGACCUUCGGGUGAGAGAGGGGGAUCGCAAGACCUCUCGCGAUUGGAUGAGCCGAUGUCGGAUUAGCUAGUUGGCGGGGUAAUGGCCCACCAAGGCGACGAUCCGUAGCUGGUCUGAGAGGAUGAUCAGCCACACUGGAACUGAGACACGGUCCAGACUCCUACGGGAGGCAGCAGUGGGGAAUAUUGGACAAUGGGCGCAAGCCUGAUCCAGCCAUACCGCGUGGGUGAAGAAGGCCUUCGGGUUGUAAAGCCCUUUUGUUGGGAAAGAAAUCUUUCAGGCUAAUACCCUGGGAGGAUGACGGUACCCAAAGAAUAAGCACCGGCUAACUUCGUG